UACGAAGGGGGCUAGGCGUUGCUCGGAAUCACUGGGCGUAAAGGGUGCGUAGGCGGGUCUUUAAGUCAGGGGUGAAAUCCUGGAGCUCAACUCCAGAACUGCCUUUGAUACUGAGGAUCUUGAGUUCGGGAGAGGUGAGUGGAACUGCGAGUGGUGGAGGUGAAAUUCGUAGAUAUUCGCAGAACACCAGUGGCGAAGGCGGCUCACUGGCCCGAUACUGACGCUGAGGCACGAAAGCGGUGGGGAGCAAACAGGG
rnacentral:rRNA from 1 species